rnacentral:rRNA from 1 species
CAGUAGCCGCGGUAAUGCGUAGGUCCCGAGCGUUGUCCGGAUUUAUUGGGCGUAAAGCGAGCGCAGGCGGUUAGAUAAAUCUGAAGUUAAAGGCUGUGGCUUAACCAUAGUACGCUUUGGAAACUGUUUAACUUGAGUGCAAGAGGGGAGAGUGGAAUUCCAUGUGUAGCGGUGAAAUGCGUAGAUAUAUGGAGGAACACCGGUGGCGAAAGCGGCUCCCUGGCUUGUAACUGACGCUGAGGCUCGAAAGCGUGGGGCGCAAACAGGAUUAGAUACCCGAGUAGUCCCUGUCUCUUAUACA